CUUCCCUGGGGGUGCUGGUAGCUUGGUACAAUCUGCUAUCACCACACCCGGGCAAA
rnacentral:pre_miRNA from 1 species